CACCGCGGUUAUACGAGAGGCCCUAGUUAAUAAAUACGGCGUAAAGGGUGGUUAAGGAGAGUACAUAUAAAGCCAAAGGGCCUCUUGGCCGUCAUACGCUCCUGAGCAUCCGAAAACCUAAUACGAAAGUAGCUUUAAUAUGCCCACCUGACCCCACGAAAACUGAGAAA
rnacentral:rRNA from 1 species